rnacentral:rRNA from 1 species
UGGGGAAUAUUGGACAAUGGGGGCAACCCUGAUCCAGCAAUGCCGCGUGUGUGAAGAAGGUCUUCGGAUUGUAAAGCACUUUCGACGGGGACGAUGAUGACGGUACCCGUAGAAGAAGCCCCGGCUAACUUCGUGCCAGCAGCCGCGGUAAUACGAAGGGGGCUAGCGUUGCUCGGAAUGACUGGGCGUAAAGGGCGUGUAGGCGGUUUACACAGUCAGAUGUGAAAUCCCCGGGCUUAACCUGGGAGCUGCAUUUGAUACGUGUAGACUAGAGUGUGAGAGAGGGUUGUGGAAUUCCCAGUGUAGAGGUGAAAUUCGUAGAUAUUGGGAAGAACACCGGUGGCGAAGGCGGCAACCUGGCUCACGACUGACGCUGAGGCGCGAAAGCGUGGGGAGCAAACAGGAUUAGAUACCCUGGUAGUCCACGCUGUAAACGAUGUGUGCUAGAUGUUGGGUAACUUUGUUAUUCAGUGUCGCAGUUAACGCG